UUCUGACAAAGAUGCCAUUUUUAGACUGAAUUAGGGUACAUUCCUUAAUGCAGUUCCUAAUUAUGUUUUGCUAAUAGGAAAUUAAAAAAAAAAAAAACCUACUCAAAAGCUGAGAAGUUUUGUCAUGUUUUGCAUUUUUCUUUUGAUUUGUUUAUUCUUUGCCUAUUUGAAGUACCAACAGUUUUAUGCUUUCCGUAGAAAAUACUCCUAUUGUCAGGCACAUUUUCAUUAAAAAACUGCUCAGUUCAUAUACUGCCUUUCUUUAAAAAUAUUUACUGUUUAAUUACUAUGCUUAGGUGAAUCUCAAAACUAUUUAAUUUUACAAAAAAUAUCCAGAGGAAUAAUAUUCAGAAAAGUUCAGUCAUGACACAGUAACUCCAUAACUCCAUUUAUAAGCAUAAGAACUACCUGAUCCACAUCAAUAAACACUUUAAUACACAAUUAAACUGACUUAAAACAGGACACAGACUGGUCAUUACCUGGCAUAUUAUGUUGUAUGGACAUUUUAAAUCUGCCUUGACACCAUUGUGCACAACAUUUCAAUUUAUAUUCUUGCAUAAACCUGAUCAAUUUCUAUUUGAACUCAUACAUUUUUUUCCUAACAUAUGCUUUAAAUAUCAAAGAACUGGGCAAUGAUUGUAUAGUAAAAUACAUUUACUAUGUAUUUCACAAUGUCCUUUUGCUACUUUUAUAAUUGAUGUCUGGUAUUUUCAUUGGAAAUCUUCUCCUUCCUAUAUUGCUUGGCCAAUCAGUUCAUUCUCCUCAGCCUUCAUGCUUUCAUGGAUCAUCACUUCCAUAUCCCUCUUCCAUCAUUAUCUCAAAGCCAAGGAAAGUAGCUCUGUCUGUGAAAGUUCACACAUAGAAGCUAUUGCUCACCUCUGAACAUCUUCCCUCCUUUACCUCUCUGCAUGCAACUGAAACCAUAGUGGUUUUUUUAAAAAAAAAAAGAAGCUACACUAGGAAGAAAUGGUGCUCAUCCUUACAUGGCAACUUAUUAAAAAGAAUAUUUGUUCAGGGACUAAGGGUAUCCCUCUAAGCUUUGAAUGUCAGAGAGCAAGACUCUAAAUCCCAGGCCUCCAAACAGGUGUGCUGGUGAGUUUUAAGGACCACAGCAGUAACUGGUGUUUUAAAACAGGUAAUCUGCCUCACUCACAAUUGGGCACCAAAAGCUUUUUAAAUUCAGGUCGCAUUAAGCUGUAUCUGGAAAGUGCAAGCAGAACCAUGAAAACUGAUGCAUUCUGGGACACUCCAAAGUUACCUGUUGCUGAAUUCCAAAAUUAGUAACCAACACAAACUUUAACUACAUCAUUUGUAGUUGCAUUAAAGAAGUUUACUUAUGCACACAUAUUUAAAAAAAAAAAAAGAAACCAUCAACCUGAAAUAUGUUCAUAACUCCACAAGAAGCAUUAUGAAGAUGCUGAAGUAGAAAGCAGGAUGCAAGUGGCAUCAGUCACAAUCUGUCACUUGAUAGACCUUCUAAUCCACAUCUUUACCAGUCCUGUUCCCAGCUCCUGCCCCUUCCUUUGCUAUCACUUAGACAUUGUGCUAAACCUAGCUAACUGGCUGACUGUAACCUCCUUUUCUCUCCCUCUCCCCUCCCCUCAAACAAAGAUGAAUGUAAGGUCCUGCGUCUGAAAAGGAUAAAAAGAUAACUCCAUGCAUCAGUACAGACUGAGGGCUGAUAGAAGUUCUGCAGAAAAGUACUUGGGAUCUUGGUGGAGCAGGAGUCUGUGGCAUACCUUUGAGGCAAUGAGAGUUGUCUGCACACUGGGUUGUACUAGAUAGAAUAUAACCAGCACGGUUAUGGAAAUUAUUAUUCGCUUCUAAAUGGAACAUCUGAGACUAUCUCUGGAACAUUCCACUCUGUAAGAAAUGCAUAAACAAACUGGAGCAACUCCAGAGGAGGGCCACCAACUCAUGGAGCUUGAGCAUAUGACAUAUGGGCAGAGACUAUGAAAAGUGUGUUUGUGUGUUCAGCUUGGAUGAAAGAAGCCGAAGUUCAGCUGCUGUCUUCAACAAUAUGACAGGUGGUUCUGUAGAAGACGGAACCAAACUCUUCUCAAAGGUGCAAAAACAGCAAAAAGGCAAUGGUCACAUAUUUCCACAAUGGAAGCUCCUAAGGAAAACAUUCCUUAUCUUGGGAUCAGUCAAGUCCUCAAAAGGUUCACAAAAAGAAAGUGGGAUUUUCAACUUUGGAGAUACUCAAAACUUGAUUGUGCGCGUCCUGAGCAUGUUGUUCUAACUGUGAUCCUAGAAAAACUUUGAGCUGGGGGUGGUACCAGAAAACUCCCAAAGAUCCCUUCCAACUUAAACUGUUUGGUAGUUCUGAUCACAUAUUUAAAGUUCAAAGACUUCUUCAAAGUUAAAAUUCAAUUUCCAGCUAGAAAAUCUUCAUGUUAAGCUUUAGAAAGAUGCACAACCAUUUUUAACUACUAUUUACUUGCUAGAUUACAGACCAGUAGUAAUAAUAUAUAUUAUAUGAAAAAAAUACAGCAUUAACUAUGCAUUCCCAAGCUAAGCAUAUUGAGUAUAGUCAGAAAAAAAGACAGCAUGGGUCUGGUGUAACCUGACCAAGGUUUUAUAUUUAUAUACACACGCUAUAUAACAUAUACAUGUUUGUACUCAGAAUUUACAUGUUUGUACUCAGAAUACCUCAAAUAAUAAUGUGUAAACAAAAAAUUAAUUAGGCCAAGAACAUGAAAUUUAUAAAUCAUUACAUUAUUAAUUGCACUUAAAAGUAAUUUUUGUAGUCAAGAUUCAUAGGCAACAUAACUCUGUGAAGCAAAGCAUAUUCUUUGAAAUGAAUCAGAGAUAAAAUCUGUGAAUUUUAAAGUAAAAAAUACAUCUGCAGGAUCUAAAGUAAAAGCAAAACUUUAAAGGAAGUAAGAAGACAAACACAAGACAAAUAGAUUGUAUUUUUUAAGAACUAAUGAACAUCAUGCUCUGGGGUAGGGAGAAAGAUUCCCAUUCAAGCGUGCCAUCCAAAUGUACACACUUUUAGGUAAAGUGAGAACUAUUUUCAAGCUCUUUCUGUGGUUGAAAUGGCAGCAUGUGAAAACAGAAGAAAACAAUAGAAGGUAUCACACUUGUAUAAGGCAUUAUUAAUUCUACCAGAUGAACUCCCUCUUCACUGUGAUAGAGUGAUUUAUUCUUCACUGACUACCUUACAAAAACAAGUACAAGAGGGAAGAAAAAAGCUGUUUGGUCCAGACAUUGAAGAUGAAUUUUUUUAGCUAUACCUAUGCAACACACAAAUUAAGCCCAAAUAUGAGUAAUGGUGGCAUCAAGGAAUUCUACUUUACCCCUCAAAUUAAAUAGAAUCAGAAUGUAAUGGAAGAAAGAUACAAGUCCCUAAAUAUUCAUACACUAAUUCUUGAAUUAAUUUAAUAUUUCCUAUCAGCAAUAUAAUAUGGGAGAAAGCCAAGUAUGAUAUUAUUUUUCCCUGUGUACAAGAAGUUCCAAUUCCUGAAGGAAUACACACUUUUCUCUCAUCUAAAUAUAAUUUACCAUUAUUUUCCAAACUGCUUCAGAAAGAGACUAAAUAAAUUGUACUAAGACACCUAUAGGUGACCAUUAGGUAAUUCAAAGACCAAUGACAAAAAAAAAAAAAAAGCAGUAUGGUUCUAACAAACUGAACAGUAAAUAUGCACUGCACAGGAUCAGACUGUUUUCUGUUCUGUGUACAUUAUAUUUUCUGAAAAGUAUGAAUGAUAAUUUAAGAGAGACUGACAUCACCAUAAGGACUGGUGCUCUGGUUGUAUUGCAGGAUUUAUCAGAUCAAAACUUUUAGCAGAUAAAAGUCUUACUUUUUACAGAAAUUAAGUUACUCAUGUAGCUUGCCAUUUAUACAGGUAGAGCCUGACAAUCCUGGCAAUCAAUCAGAGCUGGGUACAAGUGUAUAGAUAAUUCACAUGUAAAACUCUUCAGAAAAUUAAUAAAUCUGUAUUGUCAAAGAGAGGAGACUGUCAUGGAUAUCAGUGAAACUACACCUGUUAGAGAAAUCCUGAGAUGGAAAAAGAUGGAUUUUUAAAUUCAUCACACAGAUCAAAUAACAACCCCCCCCACAAAAAAAAAAAAAAAAAAAAAAAA
ensembl:lncRNA